AAAAGACUCUCGGCAACGGAUAUCUCGGCUYUUGCAUCGAUGAAGAACGCAGCGAAAUGCGAUACUUGGUGUGAAUUGCAGAAUCCCGUGAACCAUCGAGUCUUUGAACGCAAGUUGCGCCCGAAGCCAUUAGGCCGAGGGCACGCCUGCCUGGGUGUCGCG
rnacentral:rRNA from 1 species